UCCUCAGUAGCUCAGUGGUAGAGCGAUCGACUGUUAAUCGAUUGGUCGCAAGUUCGAAUCUUGCUGGGGAG
rnacentral:tRNA from 1 species